rnacentral:lncRNA from 1 species
GACAUCACCACGCUCGCCACCAGGGACGCCGUCGUCGCGUCCGGAGGUCCCUACUUCGACGUCCCCCUCGGGCGCCGCGACGGCCUCGCGCCGGCGUCGAGCAACCUCGUCGGAACCCUGCCGGCCCCCUCCUUCGACGUGCCGACGCUGAUCGAGGCGUUCAAGAACCGCAGCCUGGACACGGCGGACCUGGUGGCGCUGUCCGGCGCGCACACCGUGGGGCUCAGCCACUGCAACUCCUUCAGCGACCGGCUGCCGCCCACCGCCGACGACACCAUGGACCCGGCCUUCAGGGAGAAGCUGACGGCCAAGUGCGCCAAGGACCCCAACGGGACGGUGGUGACGCAGGUGCUGGACGUGCGGACGCCCGACGCCUUCGACAACAAGUACUA